rnacentral:rRNA from 1 species
AGCGAACGCUGGCGGCAGGCCUAACACAUGCAAGUCGAACGAACUCUUCGGAGUUAGUGGCGGACGGGUGAGUAACACGUGGGAACGUGCCUUUUGGUUCGGAAUAACUCAGGGAAACUUGUGCUAAUACCGAAUGUGCCCUUCGGGGGAAAGAUUUAUCGCCAUUAGAGCGGCCCGCGUCUGAUUAGCUAGUUGGUGAGGUAACGGCUCACCAAGGCGACGAUCAGUAGCUGGUCUGAGAGGAUGACCAGCCACACUGGGACUGAGACACGGCCCAGACUCCUACGGGAAGCGGCAGUGGGGAAUCUUGCGCAAUGGGCGAAAGCCUGACGCAGCCAUGCCGCGUGAAUGAUGAAGGUCUUAGGAUUGUAAAAUUCUUUCACCGGGGACGAUAAUGACGGUACCCGGAGAAGAAGCCCCGGCUAACUUCGUG